GUGCUGUGGAACACGUCGGUCAUGCGUGAAUUCUCCCAAAAUGGGACUAGUACCGUUAGUUUGCGUGUUAUUCGUGGCAAUAUCGCCAAUCUAUUGUGACACAGAGAAUCCACGCUUAUUAAAACUGUCAUGUGAUGGAAAACCACUCAAGUUAUCAGAGUAUCCAAGAGAGGUCAGCAUCGAACGCACCACUACCGAUACAGUUUUCAAUUCGAAAUCUUUAGAAUCCCCUCUAAUCCUCAAUCAAAAUGACAUAUUCAACAUCAAGAUCCACAACUGCACAUUUAACAACCCGGAUUAUCUAUAUUUUAACUAUAACUUCAAAGAUUUCCGUAAUCUGGAUGUGCUGCACAUCAUCAACACAUCGCUUGAAAUGUUUGACUUCAAUGUAAUAGAAAAUAACAAAGAAUUACGAGAGUUAUCAUUGGCUGAUAACAACAAUUUGAGAGAGUUAAUCAACGCAAAUAGUGGUCGCAUGAUACAAACUUUAAAAUUGACGAAUACAAACCUGGAAAUGAAAAAGUUUCUGGAGAAUAUUAGACCAAUGCUUACAAAUGGCAAUUUAACCAACUUGGAUAUAAGUGGACAGAGUGGAAGUAUUGAAAAUGACGAAGUAUGUAAGCUGUCUGAAAAACUCGAAUGGUUUAAUGGAGAAAAAUGUAUUGACAUACGAAAUAUAACAUCCAAAAGCAUCAUUGAUAUUGACAUUGAUAACGAAUCGAACAAAAUAUUUUCAUCAAUAUUUUUGAUAACUGCUGUUAUUUUGACGAUCAAAUAUUUAUGUACUUAAAUUUAAUUUAAUGUUUUAACUGUAUUUGGUAAAUUUCCCGCUAAAUUUUAUUCGCUUAUCAAUUUUUACACUUUUUUCAUAUUUACUUAUUGCUUAUUCUUCAUUUAUCUAAUGAUAAACUGUACUUGUAUGUUUUACUCGUAUAUUCGAAGAUAAAAAAUCAUAAUCCGUAAAAUGUCAAUUUUUUGUUUUGUGGACAAUUAUUUGACAAUUUUAUAUUGUAGUUUUUGUAUUCUGCGUUGUUUUUAAGGCGUUUAGCCACGGUAAUGUGCUCCGCGAGUGUAAUUUGCGAAUUAACCACUUUGCGUGCUUUUUAUUUCUAUUUUACAAACUAAAAACGCACUUAUUUCCACAUUUGGCAUCUGUUCGUCCAAAUUUAUCAUGGAAAAAUACUAAAAUACACAAAAUAAACACGAUUAAAGUAAAA